rnacentral:rRNA from 1 species
AGACAACUUAGUGGCGGACGGGUGAGUAACACGUGAGUAACCUGCCUCUCAGAGUGGAAUAACGUUUGGAAACGAACGCUAAUACCGCAUAACGUGAGAAGAGGGCAUCCUCUUUUUACCAAAGAUUUAUCGCUGAGAGAUGGGCUCGCGGCCGAUUAGGUAGUUGGUGAGAUAACAGCCCACCAAGCCGACGAUCGGUAGCCGGACUGAGAGGUUGAUCGGCCACAUUGGGACUGAGACACGGCCCAGACUCCUACGGGAGGCAGCAGUGGGGGAUAUUGCACAAUGGGGGAAACCCUGAUGCAGCGACGCCGCGUGAGGGAAGACGGUUUUCGGAUUGUAAACCUCUGUCUUUAGGGACGAAAAAAUGACGGUACCUAAGGAGGAAGCCACGGCUAACUACGUGCCAGCAGCCGCGGUAAUACGUAGGUGGCAAGCGUUGUCCGGAAUUACUGGGUGUAAAGGGAGCGUAGGCGGGGAGACAAGUUGAAUGUCUAAACUAUCGGCUUAACUGAUAGUCGCGUUCAAAACUAUCACUCUUGAGUGCAGUAGAGGUAGGCGGAAUUCCUAGUGUAGCGGUGAAAUGCGUAGAUAUUAGGAGGAACACCAGUGGCGAAGGCGGCCUACUGGGCUGUAACUGACGCUGAGGCUCGAAAGCGUGGGUAGCAAACAGGAUUAGAUACCCUGGUAGUCCACGCCGUAAACGAU